rnacentral:rRNA from 1 species
UAAAAGCACGUGAAACCGUUGAAAGGGAAACGCGCUCGGCUAGCAAUGCGCGUCUGUGGUUCAGCCGGCUAGUCUUGUCGAGUUGCCGUUGUGUGGAUCCGAAUGGACUACCUGCGGUGGCGGCGGUGGGCGAGCUAUGGUGCACUCCACGGGCGUGCGCGUCAGCGUCGGUUCUCGACGGACGACAAGGUGCGUGGAAAAGGUAGCUCGGUCUUCGGACGGAGUGUUACAGAUCCGUGUGCUGGGUUCGUCGUGGGACCGAGGAGAGAGAUGAUCGCUGCGGCACCUGCCUCUCGGGGCUAGCCAGCUGUUGCCAGGUGUGCGCCAGAUGCUGAGGACUGCACGCAGUGCUCGGUGUUGAGGUGUGAUCUGGUGGUGGUGUGGGUAUAGAGGUGCCUAGGACGCUGGCGUCCAAAUGGCCGUGCGCGA